rnacentral:rRNA from 1 species
AUGUCGGCUAUGGCUAGCGACGAGGGUUCGUGGAGGCUGGCGGGUGAGAACAGGGUGGUCGGCGUGAAGCGUGCUGGCAGGAAAAAGGCUACAUCGUCUGUGGUCUCCGGCUCCGGCUCGGAGAGGCAUAUCGUGGGGAAAGCCCCGGCGAUUGACCAGAUGACCAAGGAGGAGGAGAAGAAGAAGAAGAACCAAAGCAAGGGGCUGCCGCAGGCGUCGCCGGGUGCAGGCAAGCGUCUCCUGCCGCACGACGAGAUCAUGACGAUCUUGUCCAUGAAGGACGAGCCACGCGAGAGCGACACCGCGGAGGACAAGAAGGUGGUGGCAGAGUGGCUUGAGUUUCAGGAGGAGGUGAAGCGAGAGUACAUGGCCAAGGGCUACGUGGAGAUGGAUGAGGAGUGCUUCGUCGAGAGAGAGAAGAAGAAGCUGCUGCUCAAGGAAGCGUGGGAUAAGAUCGACUUCGGCGGGCUCGUCUUCCUCGACUCAGACGACGACAGCUAUGUCGUGAAAGAUCAGGGCGGCCCUCGUUGGGCAGACGGGAUCGUCCGGGAGUAA